rnacentral:rRNA from 1 species
ACGGAAGGCAGCAGUGAGGAAUAUUGGUCAAUGGGCGAGAGCCUGAACCAGCCAAGUCGCGUGAAGGAUGAAGGUUCUAUGGAUUGUAAACUUCUUUUGUUCGAGGGUAAAGUGAGCCACGUGUGGUUUAUUGCAAGUAUCGAACGAAUAAGCAUCGGCUAACUCCGUGCCAGCAGCCGCGGUAAUACGGAGGAUGCGAGCGUUAUCCGGAUUUAUUGGGUUUAAAGGGUGCGUAGGCGGGAUGUUAAGUCAGCGGUUAAAUAGUGUAGCUCAACUAUACUUUGCCGUUGAAACUGGCGUUCUUGAGUGUAAACGAGGUAGGCGGAAUGUGACGUGUAGCGGUGAAAUGCUUAGAUAUGUCACAGAACCCCGAUUGCGAAGGCAGCUUACCAGGAUACAACUGACGCUGAGGCACGAAAGCGUGGGUAUCAAACAGGAUUAGAUACCCUGGUA